rnacentral:rRNA from 1 species
CCUACGGGUGGCAGCAGUGAGGAAUAUUGGUCAAUGGGCGCGAGCCUGAACCAGCCAAGUCGCGUGAGGGAAGACGGUCCUAUGGAUUGUAAACCUCUUUUGUCGGGGAGCAAAAGACGCCACGCGUGGCGUUCCGAGAGUACCCGAAGAAAAAGCAUCGGCUAACUCCGUGCCAGCAGCCGCGGUAAUACGGAGGAUGCGAGCGUUAUCCGGAUUUAUUGGGUGUAAAGGGAGCGUAGACGGUGCGCCAAGUCUGGAGUGAAAUGCCGCAGCUUAACUGCGGAACUGCUUUGGAAACUGGCGGACUAGAGUGCGGGAGGGGUAAGCGGAAUUCGUGGUGUAGCGGUGAAAUGCGUAGAUAUUAGGAGGAACCCCGAUGGCGAAGGCGGCUUACUGGACCGUAACUGACGUUGAGGCUCGAAAGCGUGGGGAGCAAACAGGAUUAGAUACCCGGGUAGUC